rnacentral:lncRNA from 1 species
GUGACGUAAUAUAUCCAUAUGUAUGUUAAGUUAUUAAUAAAUAUUACUAAAAUUAUUUUAAAAAUUGAAAUUAAUAAAAAAAACUGACAUUAUAUGAAAUUCAAUAAAAAAUGAUAAGCACUGAAAACAUGUGCAUCAUAUGAAUAAGUACAAGGUUUUGAAAUUGAUUGAGAGAGCAGAAUUUGACUACGUACAUUGGGUUCACAAGUAGGAAGAUAUGAUAUGAGAGUGAGACUCGGACAAAUGCCAAAACCAGCAGACACGUAGAAAGCUAGCUUAUCCUGUCUGACUUAUUUACUCAUUCGCACCUUGGAUGGAAAAAUAUGGGUUAAAAAAAGCCUUUGUGGAUUAAGGUGGAAAACACUCAUUGGACACAACCUUUUCAGCCACCAUUUUGAGCCCACUUGCUGACCAAAUCUUUGAAUUUUCACUUGAUACCAACUUUUCUAGGCCCCUUGUAUUAUCCACGUUUCCAAAGCUUGCGUCUCUCACCCAUAGUUUACGCUUAUAAGUACCCCUCACAAAACAUUACUUUUAAAAUUUUGAUUGAUUAAAUGUAUCGGAUACUCUAUGGGGAAAAACCCACAAAGAAUAACAUGACAUAGUCACACAUUUUGAGAGGGAAUUUACCCGGAAGGGAGGGAAGGUGUUUGUUUUCUUUAUAUGGCUAAGGUGGUAGCUAGGAUUUGUUUUAUGGCAAGAGAUGCCACCACCACGUAUUUGGGGUAGCUAAAAAGAAAAAUUCAAAGUUGAGGCCAACUUUUGAACUUUAACAUUUGUGGGUGCACAAAGUAACUAAGUUUUGUGUCCACAUUUGGUUGAGAGCCACGGUGUUUACACAUUGAAGAAUAACCUAUCAUUUAUAGCCACAUAUGCAAAAAAAAAAAAGGAAAGGAAAGAAAAGAAAAAGAGGUGCUCCUUUGUCUGCGCGGUCACUGCUCACAUAGCAGUUUUACUUAACCCCACUUGUUUUUAUUCCCUCGAAUCAAUUAUAUGUUUUCUCCGAUGUCCAUAGUGACAAGUUCUUGUUCCAACUCCCCACCCCUUAAAAUCAAUGGCCCAGUAUCUAUGGUUUUGGUUGUAUGGGUUAUUUUUGUUGCCACCAAAUCUCAUACGCAUUUAAGCUUAAUUGAAUUUUCAUUAUAUGGGUUCAAUGUAUAGAAUGGAAUUUAAUCACAUUAAGUUGUUCUAACAGCUUCAGUUAGAUCUACCUGUUUGUUUUUGUUUUUUGCCUAAGUUUGAGUUUCAAUUUCCUACCUAAAUACCACGGAAGGCAAACUUUCCCUGUUGUUUUGUUGGUUGUAGUUUUGGAUUUUAGAAUAAUCCCUUUAUAGGGUCUGUGUUGUGGUUCACAUUAAUAUUCUAGCGGUGGUGGUGGAUUUGUUGAUGUGAUGUUGGAUCAUCCUUCCUCUCCCACUCUUGAGGCAUUUUCUUGAUUCCUCCACACAUCAGCAAUACUUUUUUUUUCUUUUUGUUUUAUAAUAAAUAAUGUAUUUUCUUCACUUUUGUUAUCUUUUGAAAAUUUGUAAAAUCCUAAUAUUUGACAUUUGAGUUCUAUACUUUUAGCUUCCAGUAAAUUAGUACAUAAUCAAAUCCUUUGACAAAUAUUAGC